GAUGAACGCUGGCGGCGUGCCUAAUACAUGCAAGUCGAGUGAACAGACGAGGAGCUUGCUCCUCUGACGUUAGCGGCGGACGGGUGAGUAACACGUGGAUAACCUACCUAUAAGACUGGGAUAACUUCGGGAAACCGGAGCUAAUACCGGAUAAUAUAUUGAACCGCAUGGUUCAAUAGUGAAAGACGGUUUUGCUGUCACUUAUAGAUGGAUCCGCGCCGCAUUAGCUAGUUGGUAAGGUAACGGCUUACCAAGGCAACGAUGCGUAGCCGACCUGAGAGGGUGAUCGGCCACACUGGAACUGAGCCACGGUCCAGACUCCUACGGGAGGCAGCAGUAGGGAAUCUUCCGCAAUGGGCGAAAGCCUGACGGAGCAACGCCGCGUGAGUGAUGAAGGUCUUCGGAUCGUAAAACUCUGUUAUUAGGGAAGAACAAAUGUGUAAGUAACUAUGCACGUCUUGACGGUACCUAAUCAGAAAGCCACGGCUAACUACGUG
rnacentral:rRNA from 1 species